AGUAACAUUUCCUGGUUUUACUGCAAUAUUAUUCGUUGACUUGCGGGGGCGCACGUGUCUGUAAUUCUACUUAUUUGGGCAUGCAGGCCGUAUGGGGUAGGACUGCACUUCAUGUCCAAAAUCGAAAUGGCAAUAAGGCCUAGCACUGGCCUACACACAGAUUCUUGGUAACCAGAUUGGAAGACCCACAGGAAGGAUUGUUAAAUCUUAAAUUGAAUGAGUAGCCUAGGCUAAGUUACCUUCUGAAAUUUGUGUGUGUGUUUUUGUUUCUUAUUUUAUAAUAAUGUAAUAAUAAUAGCUGUUUUAUUGAUUUAGAAAAAUACUGCAGUUCAUCAUCUGUCCCUCAUGCCUCUGUUAUUCCCCCAUUGCCCUAGCAGGACUACAGGUGCAUCAUGUAAAGUAGCUGAAGAAAGUCAUAGUGAAGAAGGACCCCUUGUGGUUAAGAUAUGAACAUGCAUGCUAUGAUUGAAAAAAGAGCUUCAAAAUGUGGUCUGUAUUUAUCAUCACUGCUAAUGAAGAAAACAGAUCUCUUGAAAACAGGUGUCUUGGCAGCCCUAGGUAGCCCUGAAGUACAGCUUGGACGGUUCAGAGUUGCAGGCAGGGAUGAGAGAUUGGUUCCACAUGCUGACCUGGGCCAACCAGAGAAAAGCAGACCGUGCAGCUGAUGGACUACCCCUAGAUUAGCACUCCCUUUGUUGAGCAGCGUUAACACCUGCAGAAGGGUGCCUUUGAAGUCCCUACACGUUUCAAUAACUUCGGAGACUAUGUCACGUCACCACCUUUUCCUAACUCUGUGUAGAACUCCGAAAACCUAAACAUGUGAAAGAGAAAUGGAAUCAAAAUAGAAGGAGAGUCAGAUUUUCAUACUAUGGUGAGGGUGACUAGAGGAGGUGAGUUGAGAUGAAGGAGAGAUGAACAGAAGAGAAGAUUAAAGAAAAAAGGCCAGACAGCUCAAAGUGUGUGGAAGACGGGGGAAAAAGAAAACGAGCACGCACAAAGAAAGUCGGGGCGUCCCCACAGAGAGCACAGCGCCGCCGGCCAGACCUAAGGGUCCGAGAGAAAGAUGCAGGGAGACGGACUGAGAGAAACGGAAACAGAGACAGACAGAGAGUAAAAGAGGAGAGGAAGAGCGCGAGGGGUUGGGAGGAAGCCCCCUGCCGAUGUGGAACAAGAGCUGGGGAGAGAGGUGCCAGAACUGGUUAAAUCACAAGACCAGGGGUGAAAGAAAUCAAACGGUCUGCACAGGAAAUAGUCAAAACAAGUCAUGUGACUGGGCCGAGUCACUGUUGGAAAACAGGGCAGAUGUGUCGGCAGAGGGCUACGAAGGACCCCGGCAGAGGUUGCUAGGCUACCAACAUGAGAACACACAUUUGUCACGUAUGCCGGCCUUGUGAUAUGAGGCCUUCUCUCUGCUCCAGUCGCCUCUGGGAGCAUACCAUGCUUACAGAACACUUGCAUUAAGGAAGUACUCCUUCACGCUUCAGUAGUUUGACAGUGAUGAUACAUGGACUUCAGUUUCUGUUGUGUCCAUCAGCCUAGCUGCAAACAAGGGCUUGUCUGAUGGGGCAACAGUUCAUGUUGCUAUGGCUUCUGAAGUCUCUGCAAUUGUUCAGUUGGACCAGCUAAAAGUAUGUUUGAAUUCAAACAAACCCAAUAAGAGUCAAUCAUGGAAAGUAGAAAGGCGUGAGGCAAACUUUGCAAACAAUUUUAAGUCUCUUACCAAAGGGAGCCUUUUCUCUCUCUCUGCCCCCCCCCCCCCUACACUGUUUCACUGUUUUACCCUCAAAACCAAAUCAGUUGAUGUCAUAUUUUCUGUAGCAUAAUGCAUAUAAUAUGUGUGAAAUAUUUAACCAAUGAAGGCCUGGGAGACACAUAUGAACACAUGCUUUUCACAUUAUUAAGGGCUCCUUGCAAUACCCAGAAUUAACUGAAAUUCAGCACAUGGUGCCUUUAGUCACUAUGCCCCCACUCACACUUUUAAUUAGGCUUUUGAGGCUAUUUAAGUAAUUUAAUUGUUUAUUGUUUUUAAUUAUUAUUUUAUUAACUUCUUAUUGUUUGUAUUUUAAUUUCCAUCUUUUCAUGUUUAUCUAUUUUAGCUUUGUUGUGUGGUCAUCUCAUGUUUGUUGUGUUAUUCUCUUUCUUUUGGAGCACAUUGAGUAUGUGCAUGAAAUGUACUAUUUAAAUAAAGUUGACUUGUCUUGACAUUGGUAUCCCACAAAAAUGUUUGAUUUCCAUUUGUUUGAUAUUGUCUAUUCAGGUUAAAGGUACAUCCAACGCCAUGCAGAGUUACAAACCAAACAAUAUUUGUGUUAAAUAUGCGUGAUUUAAACAGUGGAACAAAGACUUCUC